rnacentral:misc_RNA from 1 species
GAUGAAGAACUUAGCGAAAUGCGAUACUUGGUGUGAAUUGCAGAAUCCCGUGAACCAUCGAGUCUUUGAACGCAAGUUGCGCCUCAAGCCAUUAGGUUGAGGGCACGUCUGCCUGGGCGUCACAUAUCGUUGCCUGAUGCCAGUUUCCUCGUGAUGGGUGACUGUGCAGGGCGAAUGAUGGCUUCCCGUGAGCAUUGUUGCCUCAUGGUUGGUUGAAAAUUGAGUCCUUGGUAGGGAGCGCCGUGAUAGAUGGUGGUUGAGUGACGAACGAGACCCAAUCAUGUGAGACCCCUACCGAAUUUGGCCUUCAUGACCCACAUGCGUCUUUGGAACGCUCAUGACGAGACCUCAGGUCAGGCGGGGCUACCCGCUGAGUUUAAGCAUAUCAAUAAGCGGAGGA